rnacentral:rRNA from 1 species
UCUGACAUUCAUUCCUGUUACUCCUCCUUUAAGCAACGGUGGGCCCAGUUAGUACUUCGAUCGGAGACGGCUUGGGAAUCUAGGGUGCUGUAAGCA